GCCUGCCCCUACCACCAGGAAGUGACAGCAGCCAGGGGAAAAUGGGAAGGGAGAAAGGAACGGUGAGGAGGGUGAGCUCCACAGCCCCAGGAAGACCGUGGUGGAGAAGCUCAUCUGUCAAGACGUGGUGGAUGAGGAAGUUCUCCAACUGCAGGAGAGGAGCAAUGCCAUGUGUGGGGCUGAAGAGCUUUUCCUAAUUUCCAGUGAGCCAAGUAAGGUUAAAUAGUCCCUCUUCAGUGAACUGGGUCGUUGGCAGUGACCUGUUCUGGAAAAGUGGCCUCUGAUGCAGAAAAUCUGGUGGGCUGUUAAAGAAGUUAAGGCACUUUUCGUUUCCCCUUCCAGGGCGAAGCACAAGUUGAUUAGGAACACUAAGAUGAUUACCUCUGCUUUGCUCUAUCUCUCAAUUAUGCCCUAAUUAAUAUUGAUUAAAAUCUGGCAAAGGCAGCUUAAAGCA